UACGUAGGGGGCAAGCGUUGUCCGGAUUUAUUGGGCGUAAAGAGCGUGUAGGCGGCCUGGUAGGUCAGCUGUGAAAACUCGAGGCUCAACCUCGAGACGCCGGUUGAAACCAUCAGGCUAGAGUCCGGAAGAGGAGAGUGGAAUUCCCGGUGUAGCGGUGAAAUGCGCAGAUAUCGGGAAGAACACCAGUGGCUAAGGCGGCUCUCUAGUACGGUACUGACGCUGAGACGCGAAAGCGUGGGGAGCGAACAGG
rnacentral:rRNA from 1 species